UCGUUUGCCAUGAGACAUCGGCCAGUCGAUUCACCACAUGAGCUGUUCGCUUUUUGAGGUGUGCUUUCAUACAUUUCCUCAAGCUUAUCCCACAUUUCUUUGGCAGAUUUGUAGUGGGAAAUUUUCUGAUAAUCUUCCUGAUUCAAGCCGAUAUACAACAUAUUUAUUGCCUUAGUGUUGUAUUCACUUACCUUGGCUUUCCUAACUUUUGUCGUCAUCUGUUCACCAUGCUUGACGAUUUGCC
rnacentral:lncRNA from 1 species